rnacentral:rRNA from 1 species
CGGAGGGGCGUAGCGUUGUUCGGAAUUACUGGGGCGUAAAGCGCGCGUAGGCGGCUUUGUAAGUUAGAGGUGAAAGCCCGGAGCUCAACUCCGGAACUGCCUUUAAGACUGCAUCGCUAGAAUCAUGGAGAGGUGAGUGGAAUUCCGAGUGUAGAGGUGAAAUUCGUAGAUAUUCGGAAGAACACCAGUGGCGAAGGCGACUCACUGGACAUGUAUUGACGCUGAGGUGCGAAAGCGUGGGGGAGCAAACAGGAUU